rnacentral:tRNA from 1 species
AACGGUAUAGCUCAGCCAGCAGAGCGUCAGGAUGCUGUCCUGAAGGUCAUCGGAGCAAAGCCGACUACCGUUCCCA